rnacentral:lncRNA from 1 species
AUGCAUAUUGAGAUUUUGGUACUAAUACUAAUUCCCAAUUUUCAAUUGCAAUCCAUCUAAAAUAGCCUUUUUAUCUCCAUUCGAUAUAUAACGUUGUUGGCCUUUUCAUUUUUAGGCAUAUUCAAAGUCUGCAGUUUACAUGAGCCAGUUGAGUGCAAUUCUUUUUCAUUUUUUACAACUUUUUCUCACCAACAAUUUAUUUGUUAC